rnacentral:misc_RNA from 1 species
CUUUGGCUAUUUUGGUGGUACGGAAGUUGAGAGGGAGAGAUUCUGUUUCCUGACCAGUGUAGAGGGGAGGUACUGGGUAUUUGACAGCAUGCUUUGGCAUGAUCGUUGGACCACAAGGUCGUGCUGUUAGUGUGGAACAUAUUCCAGAGCUGGUUAUUUAUUCAAUCAAGGAUAUUGAAAAAAGUGCGGCAGCUCCGUUAUUGAAGGAAGGUUCUCUCUCAAUGCAUGUUGGUGGUAUGGUCUUGAAACUUGAAAAUGGUUCUUUUCCACAGGACCAUUUUUCCCCCUUUGUGUAACUUAACAAAAUAGGGUGGAAAUGCCAAUUUCUUCACCAAACGGUUAUAUCACAUGCUUGCUUAUAGUUGCCCCACCUCAAAGGUUCUUUUUGCCAGGUUUAACUUGCUAGCAAUUCUAAUAGUAUGACUGCUGAUAUGUGUUGGAAAUUUUAAUCCAUUUAUUAUCAAUGCCUUCAAUGUUUUUUGUUUUAUGUGAUAAAUCUAUCUUGCUCGUUGAAAAAAAUCCAGUUGCAUUGAAG